GGCUGGUCUGAAGGUAGUGAGUGAUCUCACUUGAUUGUUCACAGUCAGUUACAGACUGAACUCCUUGUUCUACUCUUUCCCCUCUUCUCACUACUGUACUUGUCUAGUCUUUA
ensembl:misc_RNA Y_RNA Y RNA